rnacentral:rRNA from 1 species
UACGUAGGGUGCAAGCGUUAAUCGGAAUUACUGGGCGUAAAGCGUGCGCAGGCGGUUGUGCAAGACAGAUGUGAAAGCCCCGGGCUCAACCUGGGAAUGGCAUUUGUGACUGCACGGCUAGAGUGUGUCAGAGGGGGGUAGAAUUCCACGUGUAGCAGUGAAAUGCGUAGAGAUGUGGAGGAAUACCGAUGGCGAAGGCAGCCCCCUGGGAUAACACUGACGCUCAUGCACGAAAGCGUGGGGAGCAAACAGG